UACGAAGGGGGGCUAGCGUUGCUCGGAAUCACUGGGCGUAAAGCGCACGUAGGCGGCUUUUUAAGUCAGGGGUGAAAUCCUGGAGCUCAACUCCAGAACUGCCUUUGAUACUGAGAGCUUGAGUCCGGGGAGAGGUGAGUGGAACUGCGAGUGUAGAGGUGAAAUUCGUAGAUAUUCGCAAGAACACCAGUGGCGAAGGCGGCUCACUGGCCCGGUACUGACGCUGAGGUGCGAAAAGCGUGGGGGAGCAAACAGG
rnacentral:rRNA from 1 species